UGGGGAAUAUUGCGCAAUGGGCGGAAGCCUGACGCAGCAACGCCGCGUGCGGGAUGACGGCCUUCGGGUUGUAAACCGCUUUCAGCAGGGACGAAGCUUUUGUGACGGUACCUGCAGAAGAAGCACCGGCCAACUACGUGCCAGCAGCCGCGGUGAUACGUAGGGUGCGAGCGUUGUCCGGAAUUAUUGGGCGUAAAGAGCUUGUAGGCGGUUUGUCGCGUCGAAAGUGAAAACUCAGGCCUUAAUCCUGAGCUUGCUUUCGAUACGGGCUGACUAGAGGAAGGUAGGGGAGAGUGGAAUUCCUGGUGGAGCGGUGGAAUGCGCAGAUAUCAGGAGGAACACCAGUGGCGAAGGCGGCUCUCUGGACCCUUCCUGACGCUGAGAAGCGAAAGCGUGGGGAGCAAACA
rnacentral:rRNA from 1 species